CCUACGGGUGGCAGCAGUGGGGAAUAUUGCACAAUGGGGGGAACCCUGAUGCAGCGACGCCGCGUGGGUGAGGAAGUACUUCCGUAUGUAAAGCCCUAUCUGCAGGGAAGAAAAUCACUGUACCUGCCUAAGACUCCCCGUCUAACUCCGUUCCAGCCGCCGCGGUUAUACGUAGGGGGCAAGCGUUAUCCGGAUUUACCGGGGGUAAAGGGAGCUUAGACGGCGUGCCAAGUCUGGUGGGAAAGGCCGGGGCUCAAACCCGGGACUGCAGUGGAAACUGGCAUGCUGGAGUGCCGGAGGGGCAAGCGGAAUUCCUAGUGUAGCGGUGAAAUGCGUAGAUAUUAGGAGGAACACCGGUGGCGAAGGCGGCUUGCUGGACGGUAACUGACGUUGAGGCUCGAAAGCGUGGGGAGCAAACAGGAUUAGAUACCCGGGUAGUC
rnacentral:rRNA from 1 species